rnacentral:rRNA from 1 species
CCCUUAGAUGUUCUGGGCUGCACGCGCGCUACACUGAUGUGUUCAUCGGGUUCGACCUUGCCCGGGAGGGUUGGGUAAUCCUUUCAAAACACAUCGUGAUGGGGAUAGAUUAUUGCAAUUAUUAAUCUUCAACGAGGAAUUCCUAGUAAACGCAAGUCAUCAACUUGCAUUGAUUACGUCCCUGCCCUUUGUACACACCGCCCGUCGCACCUACCGAUUGAAUGGUCCGGUGAAGCCUCCGGAUUGGCGCGCACCUCGGUGCCGCCGAGAAGUUGGCUAAACCUUACCAUUUAGAGGAAGGUGAAGUCGUANCA